GGACGGCCUCAACACGUGAACGCGUCUCUAUUUACAAACAAAUUGACCGGAGUGUACGGGAUUUCCAAUGGCACGACUACCACAAAAAGCGUGAUGAUCAAGUAGUUCAGACAGAGAGUGUCAGAUCUUUGUUCAUAUUGGCUGACCAUCAAACAGUCAACGGAAGCACAUCUGUGAAGGAUGAAGCAUUUAGACAACUUUACCAACUUCAAAAGAUUCCUCAUUUGAUUCCUCAUUCGAUGUUGGCAACAAUCUACCGUGGCUAGUCAAUCAACUUUGAAGAUCAACUUAUCAAGACAGAGAGUGGCGGAUCUCCAUUCAAGUUCAAG